GAAUUCGCCCUUAGAGUUUGAUCCUGGCUCAGGACGAACGCUGGCGGCGUGCUUAACACAUGCAAGUCGAGCGGGGAUACCGUUGGAAGUCCUUCGGGAUGGAAGACGGUAUUCUAGCGGCGGACGGGUGAGUAACGCGUGAACAAUCUGUCCCAGACAGGGGGAUAACAGAUGGAAACAUCUGCUAAUACCGCAUAAGACCACGGGAUCGCAUGGUACUGAGGUAAAAGGAGCAAUCCGGUCUGGGGUGAGUUCGCGUCCGAUUAGCUAGUUGGCGAGGUAACGGCCCACCAAGGCGACGAUCGGUAGCCGACCUGAGAGGGUGAUCGGCCACAUUGGAACUGAGAGACGGUCCAAACUCCUACGGGAGGCAGCAGUGGGGAAUAUUGGGCAAUGGGCGAAAGCCUGACCCAGCAACGCCGCGUAAGUGAAGAAGGCUUUCGGGUUGUAAAGCUCUGUCCUAGGGGACGAAGGAAGUGACGGUACCCAAGGAGGAAGCCCCGGCUAAUUACGUGCCAGCAGCCGCGGUAAUACGUAGGGGGCGAGCGUUGUCCGGAAUGACUGGGCGUAAAGGGCGUGUAGGCGACCGAUUAAGUGUGGAGUGAAAGUCCUGCUUUUAAGGUGGGAAUUGCUUUGCAGACUGGUUGGCUUGAGUGCGGAAGAGGUAAGUGGAAUUCCCAGUGUAGCGGUGAAAUGCGUAGAGAUUGGGAGGAACACCAGUGGCGAAGGCGACUUACUGGGCCGUAACUGACGCUGAGGCGCGAAAGCGUGGGGAGCGAACAGGAUUAGAUACCCUGGUAGUCCACGCUGUAAACGAUGAA
rnacentral:rRNA from 1 species